GUCCUCUUGUUUUUAUUAUGAGGUUUGGCCUGCCCGGUGAUUUAUUUUAACGGCCGCGGUAUAUUGACCGUGCAAAGGUAGCAUAAUCAUUAGCUCUUUAAUAGGGAGCUGGUAUGAAGGGUUUGACGAGGAGUUAACUGUCUCUUUUUGAUUUUUUGAAUUUAACGUUUUGGUUAAAAGGCUUAAAAAUUUUGUUGGUAGACGAGAAGACCCUAUAGAGCUUUACAUUUAUUUUUCUUUAUUUUUCUUGUUUUAUUUUGAUUUAUUUUUAUGUAUUUGUUUUGUUGGGGUGAUGUUUGGAUAAGAUUAACUUCUUUUUUUUGUUUUCAUUGAUUUAUGUUUUUUUGAUCCGCUUUUUGCGAUUUUUAGAUUAAGUUACCUUAGGGAUAACAGCGUAAUCUUUUCUUGGAGUUCUUAUUUUCGAAAGGGAUUGCGACCUCGAUGUUGGAUUAAGAUUAAUAUUAGGUGCAGCUGCUUUAUUAUUAGGUCUGUUCGACCUUUAAAUUCUUACAUGAUCUGAGUUCAGACCGG
rnacentral:rRNA from 1 species